UACGUAGGGUGCGAGCGUUGUCCGGAAUUAUUGGGCGUAAAGAGCUCGUAGGCGGUGUGUCACGUCGUUCGUGAAAACCUGCAGCUUAACUGUGGGCGUGCGGUCGAUACGGGCAUCACUGGAGUUCGGCAGGGGAGACUGGAAUUCCCGGUGUAGCGGUGAAAUGCGCAGAUAUCAGGAGGAACACCGGUGGCGAAGGCGGGUCUCUGGGCCGAUACUGACGCUGAGGAGCGAAAGCGUGGGGAGCAAACAGG
rnacentral:rRNA from 1 species